rnacentral:misc_RNA from 1 species
UUGAAUUUUAAUGAAGAGUCUGGUUGUAGCUGGCCCAUUCAUUUGGGCAUGCGCACACCUUCCUCUUUCAUCCCACACACAUCUGUGAACCUGUGAGACAGAGACGGGGAAUUUACUUGCUGCUUUUUGGAAUACAAAGGCAAUAGGUUAUUGGACCCCCCCUCUGUCUACUCAAUUAAUAUAAACUCAAUUUAUUUUAAAACGAAUGUAAUGGAUGUAACACAUCUCAUAC